rnacentral:tRNA from 1 species
GGCAUAGCUCAAUUGGUAGAGCAACUGAUUUGUAAUCAGUAGGUUGGGAGUUCAAGUCUCUUUGCC